rnacentral:rRNA from 1 species
AUUGAACGCUGGCGGCAGGCCUAACACAUGCAAGUCGAGCGGAUGAGAGGAGCUUGCUUAUCGAUUCAGCGGCGGACGGGUGAGUAAUGCCUAGGAAUCUGCCUGGUAGUGGGGGACAACGUUUCGAAAGGAACGCUAAUAACGCAUACGUCCUACGGGAGAAAGCAGGGGACCUUCGGGCCUUGCGAUAUCAGCUGAGCCUAGGUCGGAUUAGCUAGUUGGUGAGGUAAUGGCUCACCAAGGCGACGAUCCGUAACUGGUCUGAGAGGAUGAUCAGUCACACUGGAACUGAGACACGGUCCAGACUCCUACGGGAGGCAGCAGUGGGGAAUAUUGGACAAUGGGCGAAAGCCUGAUCCAGCCAUGCCGCGUGUGUGAAGAAGGUCUUCGGAUUGUAAAGCACUUUAAGUUGGGAGGAAGGGUUGUAGAUUAAUACUCUGCAAUUUUGACGUUACCGACAGAAUAAGCACCGGCUAACUCUGUGCCAGCAGCCGCGGUAAUAC